rnacentral:lncRNA from 1 species
GACAAAUUAGCUCAGUUAAAAUGGACUGAAUAUUAUGCCUCCUCUGCCAUCUAAUGUCAAUAAAUUCAUUUAGGUUUUCACGGCCUUGCUAACUGUCUAGGUAAAGAACCACCCAUGUCAAAACUAUCUGUCAUUUUAGCAUAUCCUGGGCUUGAUCUGCAGUAAGAAACUUACUUCUGACAAAACAAGACCACUUUUCUUGAAUCAGAUGCUGUGGAUGUAUUUUUUUGUACAAAGAACAGUCAACAAAUAGCCUUCACUGUGAGGAGAGCAAAGUGAUCCUUUUCUAUUCUGCGUUCUGACACUUUCCCUUGAAACUGUACCUCUACUUGGAAGUACUCAUCCAAC